AUUGAACGCUGGCGGCAGGCCUAACACAUGCAAGUCGAGCGGAGCGGCGGACGGGUGAGUAAUGCCUAGGAAUCUGCCUGGUAGUGGGGGAUAACGUCCGGAAACGGGCGCUAAUACCGCAUACUAUCAGAUGAGCCUAGGUCGGAUUAGUUAGUUGGUGGGGUAAAGGCCUACAAAGGCGACGAUCCGUAACUGGUCUGAGAGGAUGAUCAGUCACACUGGAACUGAGACACGGUCCAGACUCCUACGGGAGGCAGCAGUGGGGAAUAUUGGACAAUGGGCGAAACCCUGAUCCAGCCAUGCCGCGUGUGUGAAGAAGGCCUUCGGGUUGUAAAGUACUUUCAGCGGGGAGGCGGUAUCCGCAGAAGAAGCACCGGCUAACUCCGUGCCAGCAGCCGCGGUAAUUC
rnacentral:rRNA from 1 species